AACGAACGCUGGCGGCAUGCCUAAUACAUGCAAGUCGAACGAUCUCUUCGGAGAUAGUGGCGCACGGGUGCGUAACGCGUGGGAAUCUGCCCUUGGGUUCGGAAUAACUUCGGGAAACUGAAGCUAAUACCGGAUGAUGACGUAAGUCCAAAGAUUUAUCGCCCAGGGAUGAGCCCGCGUAGGAUUAGCUAGUUGGUGGGGUAAAGGCCUACCAAGGCGACGAUCCUUAGCUGGUCUGAGAGGAUGAUCAGCCACACUGGGACUGAGACACGGCCCAGACUCCUACGGGAGGCAGCAGUAGGGAAUAUUGGACAAUGGGGGCAACCCUGAUCCAGCAAUGCCGCGUGAGUGAUGAAGGCCUUAGGGUUGUAAAGCUCUUUUACCCGAGAUGAUAAUGACAGUAUCGGGAGAAUAAGCCCCGGCUAACUCCGUGCCAGCCGCCGCAGUAA
rnacentral:rRNA from 1 species